rnacentral:rRNA from 1 species
AAGUGAUAAGUCUUACAUUUACAAUCCUUGGCUUCCUUUGUAAGUUAAGGCUAGAUUUAAACAAAAAUACAAGAUUCAAUUAGUAUUCAAUGAAACUCCCUUUAUAUAUCGAUAAUGACGAUAUAUAUAUUAUGUCUUGACCAAUUACGUGCCAGCAGUCGGGGUAAUACGUAAGAGACUAGUGUUAUUCAUCUUAAUUAGGUUUCAAGGGUACUCAAAGGGUCAAUAAUAAGACUAGAGUUAUAUAGAAGAAGGUAGUACCUUAAGUGUAGAGAUUAUAUUUGGUCAUACUCCAGGGACUUAGAAAAGGCGUAGGCAACCUUCUAAGAAAUAACUGACGUUGAAGGACGAAGGCAUAGGUCACGAACAGGAUUAGAUACCCAAGUAGUCUUUGCAGUCAAUGAUGAAUGCCAUAGGUUAGAUAAAAAUUAAGUCUAUAAAUGAAAGUGUAAGCAUUUAACCUUAAGAGUAAUGUGGCAACGCAGGAAAUGAAAA